UACGUAGGGUGCGAGCGUUAAUCGGAAUUACUGGGCGUAAAGCGUGCGCAGGCGGCGCGUUAAGACAGGUGUGAAAGCCCCGAGCUUAACUUGGGAAUUGCGCUUGUGACUGGCGAGCUGGAGUGUGGCAGAGGGAGGUGGAAUUCCACGUGUAGCAGUGAAAUGCGUAGAGAUGUGGAGGAACACCGAUGGCGAAGGCAGCCUCCUGGGCCAGCACUGACGCUCGAUGCACGAAAGCGUGGGGAGCAAACAGG
rnacentral:rRNA from 1 species